rnacentral:rRNA from 1 species
CCUACGGGUGGCUGCAGUGGGGAAUAUUGGACAAUGGGGGGAACCCUGAUCCAGCCAUGCCGCGUGUGUGAAGAAGGCCCUCGGGUUGUAAAGCACUUUCAGUGAGGAAGAACGCCUGGUGGUUUAUACCCAUCAGGAAAGACAUCACUCACAGAAGAAGCACCGGCUAACUCCGUGCCAGCAGCCGCGGUAAUACGGAGGGUGCGAGCGUUAAUCGGAAUUACUGGGCGUAAAGCGCGCGUAGGUGGCUUGAUAAGCCGGUUGUGAAAGCCCCGGGCUCAACCUGGGAACGGCAUCCGGAACUGUCAAGCUAGAGUGCAGGAGAGGAAGGUAGAAUUCCCGGUGUAGCGGUGAAAUGCGUAGAGAUCGGGAGGAAUACCAGUGGCGAAGGCGGCCUUCUGGACUGACACUGACACUGAGGUGCGAAAGCGUGGGUAGCAAACAGGAUUAGAUACCCUUGUAGUC